GGCCCCUUGGUCAAGCGGUUAAGACACCGCCCUUUCACGGCGGUAACACGGGUUCGAACCCCGUAGGGGUCA
rnacentral:tRNA from 2 species